GGGAGGACAUCUCCCCGCCGCCUGCCCGCCCGCCCGCGUCUUAAUGUUAUCGGGCAUGAUUUAAGGGCCCGGGGCGAGAUUUAAGGGGGUGGGAGGGGGCUUCAAGGCAGCAGCAGGGGGCCAGGGCUUCAAGGGGGCAGCCAUUUUUUAAAAUCGGAACAGCCAUCGGAGGAGCAAUUUUUUCAAUAAUUACGGCGGCAGUGUGUGGAAAGCGCGGGAGGGUGACCAAAUAAAGAACUAUUGUAUCGUAACUAAGGAGCUGAGGCCUAUGUGACUGAGCCUGUUCCCCUAUCUACCUCAGAGACAUGAUUUAAACCAUUCAGAUGUAAUAGUUGUCCUCCUGCCCUGCCCCAUCUAGACACCUCUCCUUCCCUAAGCGGGGUGAUGUGGAAAUUGAGCCAGAUUAACCAGAGGCCCUUCUCAGCUAUUUCCAGGAUCACCAAGAACACAGGACCGUAAGCAGCCACUGUUUGCUCCUUCUCAUUUCUCUGCCCAAUCACUCUGCCUCCCCUGCCUUCUCUCUCAUCAAAAUUCUACACUGUUGGCAGACUGCUACUGGGUACAUACAAAUCUGAUGUCACUACAGAACCUAAAGAGAGCCAUUUUCUUAUGUUUUGAAUUUCUAUAAAUUUAUUACAACAACCCUAUGAAAGUGUGUUGCAAGGAAGACAACUAUCAAAAAAGACCUUUCCUGAAGAAAUUUAGUCACUAUCUGCUUCACUAUCACUGAGCAAAAUCUUGUGUUGUAAAUAUGGGGGUGGGGGGAGAGACCCAACCAAGAUGUUGCGAUUUGUGUGCUUUCCAGCUUGUUUCUCAUAAACUUAGUUCCCUAAUAAAUCCACUGAAAAAUU